CUGUGGGGUAGCUUGAGCAUGCCCUCCUUUCUCAGAAAUGGUCCUUCUGGGCUAUGGCCUGUGUCCCCUGUGUGCUCGGCAAGGUCUCUGUGACAGCCUGGAGCCGAACCCACUGCUGUUGAAGAGCAACUACAACUUUCCAGGUUCCACCAUAUUUCACUUGCUGCAGAGAGCUGUUGCUCAGAUCCUGCCUCUGUGAAGACAGCAGUAGAAGGGCCAGGGAAGACACCUAGAGACCAGGGAGGAGGCACCAGGCAUGGACCAUCAUCCUUGCUCCUAGUUUCUGCAGGCGCCAGGAAAUACCAAAGUCUAGAAGGUGAAACUGGCCUAUUUUCUGGUGCACAGAUAAAUGCUAAUAAAAUGAUAAUAAAACCUUC